rnacentral:rRNA from 1 species
GACGAACGCUGGCGGCGUGCUUAACACAUGCAAGUCGAACGAUGACGACCGAGCUUGCUCGGUCUGAUUAGUGGCGAACGGGUGAGUAUCACGUGAGCAACCUGCCCUUCACUCUGGGAUAACCUCGGGAAAUCGGGGCUAAUACCGGAUAUGAGCUCCUGUCGCAUGGCGGGUGUUGGAAAGUUUUUCGGUGAAGGAUGGGCUCGCGGCCUAUCAGUUUGUUGGUGAGGUAGUGGCUCACCAAGGCGAUGACGGGUAGCCGGCCUGAGAGGGCGACCGGCCACGCUGGGACUGAGACACGGCCCAGACUCCUACGGGAGGCAGCAGUGGGGAAUAUUGCACAAUGGGCGAAAGCCUGAUGCAGCGACGCCGCGUGAGGGAUGACGGCCUUCGGGUUGUAAACCUCUUUCAGCAGGGAAGAAGCGAAAGUGACGGUACCUGCAGAAGAAGCGCCGGCUAACUACGUG